rnacentral:rRNA from 1 species
AGUGAACGCUGGCGGUAGGCCUAACACAUGCAAGUCGAACGGCAGCACAGUAAGAGCUUGCUCUUACGGGUGGCGAGUGGCGGACGGGUGAGGAAUACAUCGGAAUCUACUUUUUCGUGGGGGAUAACGUAGGGAAACUUACGCUAAUACCGCAUACGACCUGCGGGUGAAAGCAGGGGAUCUUCGGACCUUGCGCGAUUGAAUGAGCCGAUGUCGGAUUAGCUAGUUGGCGGGGUAAAGGCCCACCAAGGCGACGAUCCGUAGCUGGUCUGAGAGGGUGAUCAGCCACACUGGAACUGAGACACGGUCCAGACUCCUACGGGAGGCAGCAGUGGGGAAUAUUGGACAAUGGGCGCAAGCCUGAUCCAGCCAUACCGCGUGGGUGAAGAAGGCCUUCGGGUUGUAAAGCCCUUUUGUUGGGAAAGAAAAGCAGCAGGUUAAUACCCCGCUGUUCUGACGGUACCCAAAGAAUAAGCACCGGCUAACUUCGUG